rnacentral:rRNA from 1 species
CCUACGGGUGGCAGCAGUGAGGAAUAUUGGUCAAUGGACGAGAGUCUGAACCAGCCAAGUAGCGUGAAGGAUGACUGCCCUAUGGGUUGUAAACUUCUUGUAUAAAGGAAUAAAACGAGGCACGUGUGCCUUUUUGCAUGUACUUUAUGAAUAAGGAUCGGCUAACUCCGUGCCAGAAGCCGCGGUAAUACGGAGGAUCCGAGCGUUAACCGGAUGUAUUGGGGUUAAAGGGAGCGUAGAUGGGUUGUUAAGUCAGUUGUGAAAGUUUGCGGCUCAACCGUAAAAUUGCAAUUGAUACUGGCAGUCUUGAGUACAGUUGAGGUAGGCGGAAUUCGUGGUGUAGCGGUGAAAUGCUUAGAUAUCACGAAGAACCCCGAUUGCGAAGGCAGCUUACUAAACUGUGACUGACAUUGAUGCUCGAAAGUGUGGGUAUCAAACAGGAUUAGAUACCCCAGUAGUC